rnacentral:rRNA from 1 species
UACGGAGGGGACUAGCGUUGUUCGGAAUUACUGGGCGUAAAGCGCACGUAGGCGGAUUUGUAAGUCAGGGGUGAAAUCCCGGGGCUCAACCUCGGAACUGCCUUUGAUACUGCAAAUCUCGAGUCCGGAAGAGGUGAGUGGAAUUCCUAGUGUAGAGGUGAAAUGCGCAGAUAUCAGGAGGAACACCGGUGGCGAAGGCGGAUCUCUGGGCCUUACCUGACGCUCAGGUGCGAAAGCUAGGGGAGCGAACAGG